GGCCAUUGGCAGUUGAUGAUUCCGAUAGAGGCCAUUUUCCCCUAAUAUUAGUAACUGUCCGAUUAUCCGCCCUCAUCCAAGUUCUAUAAGCAAAUGAAUUCCUUGGAAAACCCAGAUUAUCAAACAAGAGUUUACAGAAAUGAUCCGAAUGACCAACCAUACCACAAAAAAAGUAGAAUGUAGAAUGACUCUUAUACUUGAACGUAAUGCAUAGCCAAUCACCGCUUGGUUUCUUGAUUUGCAUUCGCCUUUAUAGAGGCUUGCGGAUAUCAAUACUGACUCUAAUCCUCAUGUAUUCCCUCCACAUGCCGUUAAAGUUUUCUGGGUCAGCCAUAAUAAAUGUACUAAUAAAAUUUCCAACUUCCCUUUCAAGCUUCUCCAACAUAUACCCUAUAGGAAAGUUUUGUAUUUAAACCCAAAAAAUCU
rnacentral:lncRNA from 1 species